rnacentral:lncRNA from 1 species
AGCCACUUCAGGGGUCACUUCACGUCCCUUUGGUGGUCACUUGGUGGUCACUUCGUCCUCAAUGUCCAGCGGUCACUCCCCACCACUCUGGGGUCACUCUCCACCAUUUUGGGGUCACUUUGAGCCACUUCAGGGGUCACUCUGGGGGUCACUUCGUGGUCACUUUGGCCUCCUUGCCACCAGGUGGUCACUCCCCAUGAUUUUGGGGUCACUCUGUGGUCACUCUGUGGUCACUUCACCCUUCUUACCACCACCCCAGUGGUCACUCUCCACGAUUCUGGGGUCACUCUCCCCCAUUU